UUCCCUCUGUUCAGCUUGAAAUGCUUGUUGAAUAGCUGCAACUUUUACCUCAUCUCUAGCCUUGUCAGCCUCAUAUUUCGCCAAUUCCCGCGCCAACGUCAAUUCACCUUGACGAGCAAGUUCUUGCAUGUACUUUCCAUAAUCAUUCUUGGAAGCACUCCCUUUCCUCUUUGAAGCCUUCUUACCUAGAGGCCUAAUUGGAUAACGGGUUGACCCCGACGCUUGUUCAGGAAUGGGCGUUUCAGGCACUUCUUCUCCAUCUUCUUCAUCAACAUGGGAGCCAUGAUCGGGUGUAGAGUGUGGAGGGGUGCUGUGUACAAAGGUGCUGUGUAGAGGGAUGUUGUUCAUGCAUACUUCUGGACCAACAUGCACAACUUUGAAUUUAGGACAAUCUUUAACAAUAUUCCAACAUUCCCACCGGGUGAAUGAUUUGUUUCUUGAUUUGAUUUUGGCACCAUACCAUGCUUGUGCUUGAAGUUGCUACAAAUAAUAAUAUUGAGACUAUUAGGUAACAAAUAAAUAAUAAUAAUAAUGAAAUUAGGUAACAAAUAAAUAAUAAUAAUGAAAUUAGGUCAAUAACAAUAAAAAUACAAAUAAAUAAUAAUAAUGAAAUUAUUAGGUAACAAAUAAAUAAUAAUAAUGACAUUAUUAGGUAACAAAUAAAUAAUAAUAAUGACAUUAUUAGGUAACAAAUAAAUAAUACAAACAAAUAAUAAUAAUGAAAUUAUUAGGUAACAAAUAAAUAAUACAAACAAAUAAUAAUAAUGAAAUUAGGUCACAAAUAAAUAAUACAAAUAAAUAAUAAUAAUAAAAUUAUUAGGUAACAAAUAAAUAAUACAAACAAAUAAUAAUAAUGAAAUUAGGUCACAAAUAAUAAUAAUAAUGAAAUUAGGUAACAAAUAAAUAAUACAAACAAAUAAUCUUACCUCAUCCGCAUAAUUUGUCCCACUUCGAACAUUACUACUAGCUUGUGUCAAGGCAUCUCUCCACGUACUAAAGGAAUGGCAAAGUAUUUUCCAACGACUGGACAUCGAUUCUUUGGUUCUUUUCCCACUCAUUUGCUCAAGAAAUUUGGUAUGAAUUAAACUCCACAUUUCUCGCAACUGCAUCUCAUUACCCAUAAGGGAAUUAUGAGUAACUUCAACCCAGCUAGUGCACAACGCAACAUCUUCAAGAAGCGAUCAAUUCGUACCUGCAUCAGUAGUCAUUUUGUGGAAAAAAAAUUGGACGGAAACUUUAAGAGAAAGAUAAGAAUUUGAUUGAAAGUGGUUGAGAAAAUAUGAAAUUGUGGUGUAAGGUAGAUGGAGAAGAAGUGGUAUUUAUAGAAAAGUAAAAACAAUUUUUUACAAUUUUUUUUUCAGAUUUUUUAAAAUUUUUUCGGAUUGUUUCCAUUUUUUUUUAAUUUUUUUUUCCAAUAAUUAAUUUCUGCCAUUGGAUUUAAAAAAAUUUGAAUUCCAACACUCCAGAUUGUGCCACGUGUCACAACGGUAACUUUUCUUAAUUUUAAAACUAUUUUUUCUUUAUUUAUAAAGCAUAUUAAUAUCGACCGUUGAUCUCAGAUCGAACGGUUGAUAUUAAAUUAGAUUUUUUUUAUUUUUUUUACCGUUGAGAUCCAACGGUCCAAAUGAAGGAGCCGUUGAGAUCGAACGGACCGUGGGAAGCCACGUGGCUUCCCAACGGUAACUGACAGCUGCUGCAAGUGGCCUGAUUUUUCUGAAAAGGUGUCGAGCGACGCGCCCCCACGCGCGAGUGGGGUGCACGCGCCUGACAGAAAAAAAAUAAAAAAAGGGUUGGAGCUCGGGCUGCUGGGCUGUCACAAAUUGGCAGGCCCCCUGCUCGGGCCUUCUUCAAGAGCUCGGGCUCUUCAUGGCUGGAGGUGAUUCACAGGGCCUCGGGCCCUUUCUUCUCCCCUGUCCCCUGGGCUACCAGCAAGGCUGGACUUGCUCUAAGGGUGAAGAACUUUUGGUGCUCCUAAUUAUGGAGGGAAAAAACAUAAAAGAAAGCUUAUGUGCAAAAUUGUCCAUAUAGUUCAAACAAUCCUAAAAAUCCACAAAGUGCAAUAGAGUUCGGAAAGAGUGAAACCUUUCGAAACAGAUUGGGAGCUUUUGAAGUCCUGAACAAUCAAGGGGUGGAAUAAAUAAGGUUUAUCCCUGAAGUUAUUAAAUUCUUUCUUUUUUGAACUUUGGUAAUCAUCAGCGAUUUCUAACAAUUCAGAAAAGUUCAGAACACAAUACAUACAUAAACCAAAAUUUUACAUUGUAAACUAAUCUUCAUGUCCAAAUUUUGUACCUAUCAUGUAAUGUGUCAAGCAACAAUUAAAUUUUAUUGUAAUAAUCAAGCUAGAUUUAAGUAAAUUAUUUGACAUGUUACUGGGUAAGUAUAAUUGGUACUCUUUUUUUUAUUUUAGGAUAAGUAUAAUUGAUACUCUGAGAUAACAAUUAUAAUUAAAUAUAAACAUAUUUAAUUAGAUCACUAAUCCAUUCUUGAUCAUUUGAGCAACUAUAAUUAAUGGUGGUGCUCGUCUUGGUCUACCAUGGUGAUGGUGGUCUUGUCUGCGUCUAUCUGCAGCUGAAGUGAACAGGGUCCUCUGAUGAAACAGAUAACGAAAUGAGCAAAAAAUAAAAAUAAAAAUUCUGAAAAUAAAAAAAACAUUUUUUGAGUGGCAUUUUUACCUGAUGGAAGCAUUCUGAAGUAAGGACUGUGACGACAGCGGAGGCGGCGACGGUGAUUAGAUUUCUUGGAAAUUAAAAUUGGGACGGCGGUAUUUCUCACAUUCACAGACAUUAAUGAAAAUGGGGAGUGGGGUUUCUAGAGAGAGAGGGGCAGAGCAGAGCAGGAGUGGGGUUUCUUGAAAAUUAAAAUUGGAACGGGGAGGAUUAUCUACCCUCCUAAUCUCUUUACUCUCUCACGUCCUCUUAUUUGAAUGGUCGUGUUUAAGUCACGUCAACAUCUUAUAUUGAUUUUUUUUAUAAAAAUAAUAAGAUAAAAAGUAAUGUGUAAGAGAAAGGGAUGAGAAUAGAAAGAUAGAGAAU
rnacentral:lncRNA from 1 species